rnacentral:rRNA from 1 species
UACGUAGGGUGCAAGCGUUUGUCCGGAAUUAUUGGGCGUAAAGAGCUCGUAGGCGGUCUGUCGCGUCGGCUGUGAAAACCUGGGGCUUAACCUGGGAAUGGCCAUGGAAACUGGCGAACUGGAGUGUGGCAGAGGGGGGUGGAAUUCCGCGUGUAGCAGUGAAAUGCGUAGAGAUGUGGAGGAAUACCGAUGGCGAAGGCAGCCCCCUGGGCCAAUACUGACGCUCAUGCACGAAAGCGUGGGGAGCAAACAGG